GUCGGUUCAUCUUCUGGAGCCUUUGAUCCAGGAGGUCCUCUCGGCUGUGCGUCUCAAGGGUCUUCUGGCAGAAUGGAGGUAGGGUUCCUCUGGGAGUAGAAUCAUGAUCAGACUGAGGGCUCUCCACCCUCGGAUUCCCCUUUCUGGGGAAGAUAGGGUGACUGGUCCAAGUGGCCUGCCCUACUGCCAGAUUUUGGAACUCCGAUGAUGCUCUUUCCCACCACACUGAUGCCUGCGACUGUUGUUGCUGCAUGGCCUGCACUGCUUCGGUGAGGCCUCUGACCUACUGAACCAGCAGGUCGAACUGCUCCA
rnacentral:lncRNA from 1 species